rnacentral:lncRNA from 1 species
GGUAGAGAAGAAGAAAUGGAAGGCCGGCCGGCCGGCAGCUGCCUCCCGCUGCAGGCAAGAGAGAGCCUGCCUCUCCACGUGUGGAAGGAUCCCUCCUCGUAGUCCGCAGCAGGGGGAGGAGGACAGCCGUGCAGCCGGAGUUACAGCAGAGGAGGGGAGCGGGAGAGGAGCAGAAAGAAGCGUCUGAACUGGCCAAUUCUCCUGGCAGCGCCAAGAACAAGAGCUGUGGACUGGUGUUUGUCAAGGAUUAAGCCUGUCAGAGACUGGUACUUAGGAAUGAUGAGCAAGAAGGAACCAAGAGCGAUCACAAGACUUAAUUCAGUGUUCGAUGAAUUUACGAUCUUGUUAAGAAAACGCAAGUAGAGGCCUUGCUUGAAUAGAUAAGGCCGGAAAAGAUAAGAACUCCUGCCUUUUGUUCCCAUCCUUGUAGAUAAUUUAGCUUAAACUAACCGUACGGUGCUAUACCACUAAUGAGAACUUAGAUAAUAAGAACACUAACAAGCACGAAGGUAUCAAAACAUGGAAAGGACCAUACUGCGCAGAAUCACCUGAGGAGGGUCAAAUAGCGGACAAGUGAGGAACACUAUGGAAGACCACCAGAGGACUCCUGAAGACCACCAGAGGCCUUCAAUGCGCCUGCGUAAAGGACAUUUACAUAUGUUAAUAGUUUCCCGGGAAAACUAAUGAAUAUGUAUAACAUUUCUCAGGAAUCUAGUGAAUAUGUAUGUAGAACCUGUACUUAACCUGCACAAUUAGACCUGACGGGGUGUGCCUUGGUAGAGCAGAGGCUCCCGGUGCACCCAGCGCUGUUUGCUUGCCUCUAUUCAUAUAAUAAAUUGUAAACUUUAAUUAGAAUCCUGUUUUGGACGUGAUCAUUUUUCACAAUUGGGGGCUCGUCCGGGAUGGUCUUAGUUCCUGAAUUCUGACUUAAUCUAGGAGGGGCGCCCCACCAUUUGGUGGCUCCUGAUCGGGUCGGGUCGGGACUAACGCCAUCCUGAACCUGAAUAGGGGCAAGCAAAGAAUUUGAUUUUUUUGAGCUCCCUUGCCGGCUGCAGCAGUUUAUUUUGCCCGUAAUUCUGCGCGCGAAGAUCCGAACGAAGACGACGGAGUCGUAAGUAUUUAAGGGGUAUACCGUUCGGUUGGGUGGGAUUCGGUCACCUGUAUGUGUGUAAGAGUGUGACUGAGACGAAACUUAGUUUCGAAGCGAUUGUGGAGGUCUUCUAACCGCGGUUCCAAUCUCCCGCGAGGGACUUGGCCGGUGAAGGACCGAAGUGACUCCUAUAGGAUUCGUGGGUGGGU